rnacentral:rRNA from 1 species
AGAGGGGGAUAACGUUUGGAAACGAACGCUAAUACCGCAUGAUAUUAUUGAGCUGCAUGGCUUGAUAAUCAAAGGAGUAAUCCGCUGAAAGAUGGGCUCGCGUCCGAUUAGGUAGUUGGCGGGGCAACGGCCCACCAAGCCGACGAUCGGUAGCCGGACUGAGAGGUUGAACGGCCACAUUGGGACUGAGACACGGCCCAGACUCCUACGGAGGCAGCAGUGAGGGAUAUUGGUCAAUGGGGGAAACCCUGAACCAGCAACGCCGCGUGAGGGAAGACGGUUUUCGGAUUGUAAACCUCUGUCCUCUGUGAAGAUAAUGACGGUAGCAGAGGAGGAAGCUCCGGCUAACUACGUGCCAGCAGCCGCGGUAAUACGUAGGGAGCAAGCGUUGUCCGGAUUUACUGGGUGUAAAGGGUGCGUAGGCGGCUUUGCAAGUCAGAAGUGAAAUCCAUGGGCUUAACCCAUGAACUGCUUUUGAAACUGCAGAGCUUGAGUGGAGUAGAGGUAGGCGGAAUUCCCGGUGUAGCGGUGAAAUGCGUAGAGAUCGGGAGGAACACCAGUGGCGAAGGCGGCCUGCUGGGCUCUAACUGACGCUGAGGCACGAAAGCGUGGGUAGCAAACAGGAUUAGAUACCCUGGUAGUCCACGCUGUAAACGAUGAUUACUAGGUGUGGGUGGACUGACCCCAUCCGUGCCGGAGUUA